rnacentral:rRNA from 1 species
UACAGAGGGGGCAAGCGUUAUUCGGAAUUAUUGGGCGUAAAGGGCGCGUAGGCGGCGAUUCAAGUGACGGGUGAAAUCCCUCGGCUUAACCGAGGAACUGCCUGUCAGACUGGGUUGCUUGAGACCGGGGAGAGGCGAGUGGAAUUCCCAGUGUAGCGGUGAAAUGCGUAGAUAUUGGGAGGAACACCAGUGGCGAAGGCGGCUCGCUGGACCGGAACUGACGCUGAGGCGCGAAAGCGUGGGGAGCAAACAGG